rnacentral:rRNA from 1 species
CUUGCUCCUGAGGUGACGAGCGGCGGACGGGUGAGUAAUGCCUAGGGAUCUGCCCAGUCGAGGGGGAUAACAGUUGGAAACGACUGCUAAUACCGCAUACGCCCUACGGGGGAAAGGAGGGGACCUUCGGGCCUUCCGCGAUUGGAUGAACCUAGGUGGGAUUAGCUAGUUGGUGAGGUAAUGGCUCACCAAGGCGACGAUCCCUAGCUGUUCUGAGAGGAUGAUCAGCCACACUGGGACUGAGACACGGCCCAGACUCCUACGGGAGGCAGCAGUGGGGAAUAUUGCACAAUGGGGGAAACCCUGAUGCAGCCAUGCCGCGUGUGUGAAGAAGGCCUUCGGGUUGUAAAGCACUUUCAGUAGGGAGGAAAGGUGAUGUGUUAAUAGCACAUUGCUGUGACGUUACCUACAGAAGAAGGACCGGCUAACUCCGUGCCAGCAGCCGCGGUAAUACGGAGGGUCCGAGCGUUAAUCGGAAUUACUGGGCGUAAAGCGUGCGCAGGCGGUUUGUUAAGCCAGAUGUGAAAUCCCCGGGCUCAACCUGGGAAUUGCAUUUGGAACUG